rnacentral:rRNA from 1 species
CGAACGGGUGAGUAAUACAUCGGAACGUGCCCAGUCGUGGGGGGAUAACUACUCGAAAGAGUAGCUAAUACCGCAUACGAUCUGAGGAUGAAAGCGGGGGACCUUCGGGCCUCGCGCGAUUGGAGCGGCCGAUGGCAGAUUAGGUAGUUGGUGGGAUAAAAGCUUACCAAGCCGACGAUCUGUAGCUGAUCUGAGAGGACGACCAGCCACACUGGGACUGAGACACGGCCCAGACUCCUACGGGAGGCAGCAGAC